GAUGAACGCUGGCGGCGUGCCUAAUACAUGCAAGUCGAGCGAACAGACGAGGAGCUUGCUCCUCUGACGUUAGCGGCGGACGGGAGAGUAACACGUGGAUAACCUACCUAUCAGACUGGGAUAACUUCGGGAAACCGGAUCUACUACCGGAUAAUAUAUUGAACCGCAUGGUUCAAUAGUGAAAGUCGCUUUUGCUUUCAGUAAUAGAUGAAUCCGCGCCGCAUUAGCUAGUUGGUAAGGGAACGGCUUACCAAGGCAGCGAUGCUUAGCCGACCUGAAAGGGAGAAUGGCUAGCUGGGAACAGAGACACGGCCCACACGCCGACGGGAGGCCGCAGUACGGAAUCUUCCGCAAUGGGGGAAAGCCGGACGGAGCAACGCCGCGGGAGGGAUGAAGGUGCUCGGACCGGAAAGCGCUGUUAUUAGGGAAGAACAAAUGUGUAAGUAACUAUGCACGUCUUGACGGUACCUAAUCAGAAAGCCACGGCUAACUACGUG
rnacentral:rRNA from 1 species